rnacentral:lncRNA from 10 species
AGAGGCGGGAGUCACGGGAGAGGAUGGAGCAUGAUGGACGGAGCAGAUCUGAAGCAGGAAGCAGGUCAACUGGCCAGGAAGGGCCUGGGCUCUGAGUGCAGGGGAGGGGAAGACAACAGGGCGGGUGAGGACAGAAACUCAAGAUGGCCAGAGAGGAAAAGCGUGGGCAGUGGUCCACUUCAUUUCUAAUCGUGAGGAUCCUCUAGGUGGGAAUCUAAAGACCUAUUCUGUAUGUGAGCAGGGUCCAAACGUGUUAAUUCCUUUUGUGUAUGGAGCAGAACUGCAAUCAAUGCUGAAACUCUCCCGAUGCUUUUUAUUUGCCUUUACAGUAAACAGGACCCGCCAACAUUCUCGAGGGUGCACUCUCAGGAACAGUGUCCAGCAAGCAAGUGGUCGCUGAGGCGGGGAGCAGCAGGCGCCAGGGAGGAGACUGAGACCUCCUCAAAAGAGAGUGCUCGCUCUGUCCGGGGGGCAGGGAGGCCCAGGGCUGUGGGGUGGCUGCAGCUUUUCCCCAGCUGGCUUCACAGUCACUUUCUGCUCACCCCAAGCCCCAUUUGUAUGGCUUUUCAAGCUCCAUACUUACCUCUGCUCUUUUCAGCAUCUCCCACUUGUUGAGGAUUUUCAUUGCAUAAAUUCGUUCAGUAUUCUUCAUUUUGACAACAGCAACCUGCAGUGCAAAUGUGAGUUGAACAAAGAUGCGGUUCUUGAACAAAAGGCUAGCACGCUGGAGCUAAACUGUAGUGAAAUCCUAACAGCCCAGGAGCCUGUGAAACCAGCAGUGACCGAAAGCCAAGUUUCCCACCUAGCAUGUGCCAGUUCCUGCAUCAAGAACCUUUUCUUCACAGAGAAAGGGACCGGCCACGUGGGCUCCGGAGUUUCACUCCUGCAAAUUCACCCCUUUAUGGCUCGGGUUCCACCACUACAGGAGGUUAAUGGCAGGACCGGACUCCUGAGACACCUAUGAGGACCCAUGAGCACUGACAGUUAAUGUGCCCAGCACACUGUGGGGCACAGUCAGCACUCAGCGCGCGGCCACCAGCCACAUUCUUUAAAGAACAAUUCAAGUGCCACCUCCUUCAGGAAGUCCUCUUGGACUUUCCAGUUUCUACCAAAUCUUGAAUAAGCUCUGCCAUCACUACCAACACCCGUCAAGAUGUCUGCACCAUUGUCUGGUGCAUUCCACCCUACGUAAGUCACUCACACACGGGCCCAAGUCUCCAACUCAGCACUUCCUGUAAGCUACUCACUGGCAGUGACAGCGGCUUCCAUACCUUCUGGCUGCCAAUGGCAAGCAGCCAGCAUGUCCCCGUGCCUGCAGCAGCCAUGGCCUGAAGAGGUCUUAAAUGGCAGUAUCAUCUACCUGCCUGUUUCUAACAUCAAAUACCACACAGUCACAUCGUAGAGUCACUGUGAGAGCUGCCAUUCACCAGGCACAUUCUGCGUGCCAGAGACGGUGUUGAGCCGCGCAUCCGCACCCCCACUUCACCCUCACAGCGACCCCAGCUGCGGGGGAUUUCUAAAAUCCAUCUUGUACAGAUAUGGACUCUGAGGCUCCAAGGGAACAAGACCAAGGAGGGAAUCCAAGAAGCAAAGGCCGCAUGGAAAGGACAGGCUCCCUUCAAUCAGAGGAGCUCAAAAAGCGAUCAAUGUUAUCUUCUUUGAAACUCACACAAAACUGAGUUUUGCAUUAAGUUUUUGGCAAAAAAGAGUACUAAAAAUAACCGUAAACCAUUCUGUUAAAAC